ACGCACCCAACAGACAGUGCAAGUCAACACAAAAAAUUAUCAUGAUUUUUCCUGUAAAUUGGCUUCUGACUUCCUGUCAGGGUUCAAUUCCCGGGUUACACCAUUGAUGAUCUUGCGAUACGGUGGUGCGAAGACUAAACAACGGAGACUCCAUAAGAACUGGCCGUGUAUUUUUCUUGGUUACGCGGGCGGUGUCAGAGGAAUCAAACAUACUCUGUAAUUGGAUAGGAACAUAAAUUGACUGUAUUUAGUUUAUAUACUCUAGGAUAAUGUAUAUUUGAAGAAGAAGGGUAUACUCCGUAAAAUUAAAACCGUGAUAAUACAUUAUAUCUGGCAUCACAAAAACUCUAAUAGAAAUACAUACAAACCAUACAAACGCCGUCCAAAAUGCGGUGCCCUUAAAAAAUCGGAAACAAAUCCUAUAGAGUCUCUCGUGGCAUGCCGACGUCAAACCCCAACGGCUUCAGUAUAGAAUCCCUAGCUACCUGGUUCGCAACCGCACCCCCUUUCUCCAGCGCAACGGCGCCAACCACCGCGUAAAUCGCCUGGGUCAAAACGACUUCUAAUCCGGAUGCCGCA
rnacentral:sRNA from 1 species